rnacentral:rRNA from 1 species
AUUGAACGCUGGCGGCAGGCCUAACACAUGCAAGUCGAACGAGUGGCGGACGGGCGAGUAAUGUCUGGGAAACUGCCUGCUGGAGGGGGAUAACUUCUGGAAACGGUAGCUAAUACCGCAUACCAUCGGAUGUGCCCAGAUGGGAUUAGCUAGUAGGUGGGGUAAAGGCUCACCUACGCGACGAUCCCUAGCUGGCCUGCGAGGAUGACCAGCCACACUGGAACAGAGACACGGUCCAGAGUCCUACGGGAGGCAGGAGGGGGGAAUAUUGCACGAUGGGCGCAAGCCUGAUGCAGCCAUGCCGCGUGUAUGAAGAAGGCCUUCGGGUUGUAAAGUACUUUCAGCGGGGAGGCGUUACCCGCAGAAGAGGCACCGGCUAACUCCGUGCCAGCGGCCGCGUAAUAC